UUGUGUGCGCAGAUACUGAAAAACUGUUAAGUGCAACACUAACAAUUUGCCUCUGUUUGACACAGACAAAUUGUCUAUGUAACACUAACAACUUGACUGUAUGCAACACUGAUAAAUUGUAUGUGAAUUUGUGACAGCGACAAGCAGCUUUUUCAAGAAGAUGGCAAAUUACUUUCUUUCUUUCUUUUUUCUUUAAUGACAAUGACAGAUUAUCUUGGAAAAAUACCAGAAGUUGUGAUUAACUUUGAAGAGAACUGGUGCAGCCAUUGGACUGUGGAAAUGCUGGGGCACCACCUUGAAGGGUUUUGAUGAAUAAUUCAACUACAGUACUUAUUUGUUGUGAUGGACCGACGUCCCAUCCAACGAAACUGAGAAACUGGCCUUCUUGAGCCAGGCGUGGCCCAAGAAGGGAAAAACAACAACUUAUCUGAACAGUUUCAUGUGUUAGUGAACAGUUUGCAGUGUUGGAGAGCAUAAAAACUGAAGUUGUAGUUGGCAUGGAGGAUUGAAAGCCAUCUGAAUACUGAAAAAGAGUUCCUGUAUCGUGAUGGUUUGUGCCAGGUAUCAAAAUUCUGACAUCAUGACAGCAGCUCAAUGCUCUGUGAAUAUUGUAAAGGCCUGAAAGAUAUAACAUGGACAGCUACAACGGAGACUACAAAGCCGUGACCAGCAGGAAGAAACACAUGCUGGAAUUCAUCCCCACAUCUUUGAACAGGGCCUAAGGUUCAAUUCAUACAGCUACGUGAAGUUGCUGGAGACUGUGGUCAAUCUUUGGGUGAAGAGAGUUGCUGCUGGAAGGUCACAUGUGUGGCAGCAGGAUCUGACUCCUUACCAUACCUCUGGAAAGAGUCAGAAGUUGUUGUUAAACAACUUCACCAGACCCAAUUCUAGCCUCCUAAUUCCCCUGAUUGUAAUCCCAUGGAAAUGUGAAGAAGAUACAUCAGCUUGUGCAUGAGGAUAGACAGAGGACAAUCAACAACGUUUUGAAGCAUUUGAGGGAGGAUAAUUUGGUGAAAGCAAACCAGGUCUGUGGAACACAAGAAUUGGAUUCUUCGUGAUGACAAUGCACCCUGUCAUCAAGCUCCUCUCAAUCGUGAGCUUCUCACCAAAAACAACAUGGUAUCACUUCUGCACCCACCCUAUUCACCAGAUUUAGCACCUAUGGACCUCCAUCUCUUCCUUCAAGAUGAAAAUGUAGCUCAAAGGUCACUGUUUCAACACUGUUGUCACAAUCAAGGGCAAAUAGCAGAAGGUCCUCCACCCACUUACAGAAAACAACUUCCAGACCAGAUUCCAGAAAUGGUAGGAACUCUGGGACCAGUGUACUGCCACACAAGGUGACUAUUUCAAAGGAGAUGACGUUAAAACUUAGGUAAAUAAGUUAUUUUUUAUUAGAUGUAACUAGUCUGGGAACUUUUUGAUACCAUCUUGCACAUAGGCAUAUGUAUAUACACAUUUAUACAAGUGUGUGCAUGUUUUUGUGUGUGUGUGUACUUUCUUGUAUUUCCAUUCUUAGCAAGAUUAAGAAAUGUUCUUACUUUUGUU